CAGAAUCCAUGAAACUGGCAGUGACUGGAAACCAAUUGGAAGACUUUGGUCUGUGAUGUAGAGGAGUGGGCAGAGGCAGAAGCAAAGACAUCAAAAAGAAGAAGUGAUGUGGAUGUCUUCGUCAUAUUGCAUGACUCUGCUGACCCAGCAACAAAGAGGAGGGUGUUCAACAUCAUCCUGCUAGUCAGGAUUCUUCAGGAGAAGCAGUGGAUUCUUGUGGCAGAGAUGGUCAACCACUAGAAAUACCUUUCAACUCAUCCUGGUUCUUUCAAAGAACUUUCUUGCUUGUUUGCUACUGAAAUGUACUGAUUCGACAUGUGGCCUUAACGAAGAGGGGUUAAAAGGUCUAUGGAUCAUCAUUCUCAAAAAGCAA